rnacentral:lncRNA from 1 species
UUAUUGGGUUUAUUGUUGGUGGUGUUUACAGUCAGUACCAACCUGUAUUUUGAUACAGAGUGAGUUAGUUUAUUUUAGAUUUUUGGCUUCUAAAAAGAAAAUGAAUUUAUUGCUUUGCAUGUUUAGGGAAAGAAAUAUAAAUCCAUAACCUUUUUUUUUUUUUUUUUUUUUUACUUUUGUAGUAGUUUGGUUUCAUUCAAUAAAAAAUGAAAUUCAUAUUUCUAAUUUUACUAAUUUUUUUGUACUGUAAUAUUCAAUAGCCUCAGUGAAAACAUCAGGUAAAUAAAAUUUAAAAUAUUGCACAAAAAUAUUUUGUGUCUAAAUUACUGCAUAAUGACCUUAGUAUUACACUUAGUAGCACAGUCACAAAUAGGGGUAUACAAGGCAUGUCAAUGUCAACUGAGGUAAUAAUUUCUGGAGGGUUGGGGGUGGGUUCAUUUCAUCUACCCCCAGCAACUAGGUAGUAUUAGUAUUGAGGAUUGUUGCUUAAACCUGUUGUUACAGUACACAUAAAUGUACAUUUAUUUUACAGUUAUUGGAAUGUCAAUGAAAAUAUCUCAGACAUAUGACAUCAGUCUCACUAACCAGAGUAGCACACCCUACAACGAAUUAUCUAAACGAAUUGAGUCAGCAAUUAACACAAGUUAUUCUAAAAAGAUAACUGGCUACGAGGUUGGUUCUGCUAAAGUCACUGGCUUCAGGUCUGGUAGUGUUAUAGCAGACUACACAAUAAUUGCAACAUCCAACAGCCUUGAUUUUGUAGCAGCAAACAUAGAGGUUUCAGACUCUCUAAGUACACAAGGAUUAAAUGUAACUAAAGAUGAUUUAAUUCUAAGUGCUCAAAAGGACCUAACAACAGAACCGUUAUAUCCUCUGCAAAAGGUGGUCCUGAACUGUACACAGACAGAAUUUGCAAAUGGACAAAUAAAAUGGACAGUGGAUGACAAAGAUCCUGCACUAAACAAAACAAGAUACUUAAUUUCACCUGACAACAGAACUCUCACUGUAAUUAAUGCUACUGAACAAGACAGUGGUCGAUACUCAUGCAUCAUACAAGGCAAUGUUACGUACGUUCAAUGGCAAAACAUUGCUAUUAAAAAACGCCCCAGUAUUAAUGUGGGUGAAAAGGACCACUAUAUUUUCUGUGAUGGCAGCAGUUUACAACUGAAAUGUUCUGUUGAUGUUGGCUACAAUAUUGAGUGGAUCCUUGGUGAAGAAGUAUUAAUGUCAGGAACUGACAGUAUCACAUACAACCAUAAAAUUAAAAAUGUAAAUUGUACAGAGGAAAUCUUUACAUGUCGUCUCAGGGAUCUAUUCAUACAUUUCAUUUGUUUACCCAAUCAGGAACUGACAGUAUCACAUACAACCAUAAAAUUAAAAAUGUAA